rnacentral:rRNA from 1 species
GAUGAACGCUGGCGGCGUGCCUAAUACAUGCAAGUCGAGCGAACAGACGAGGAGCUUGCUCCUUUGACGUUAGCGGCGGACGGGUGAGUAACACGUAGGUAACCUACCUAUAAGACUGGGAUAACUUCGGGAAACCGGAGCCAAUACCGGAUAAUAUUUCGAACCGCAUGGUUCGAUAGUGAAAGAUGGCUUUGCUAUCACUUAUAGAUGGACCUGCGCCGUAUUAGCUAGUUGGUAAGGUAACGGCUUACCAAGGCAACGAUACGUAGCCGACCUGAGAGGGUGAUCGGCCACACUGGAACUGAGACACGGUCCAGACUCCUACGGGAGGCAGCAGUAGGGAAUCUUCCGCAAUGGGCGAAAGCCUGACGGAGCAACGCCGCGUGAGUGAUGAAGGUCUUCGGAUCGUAAAACUCUGUUAUUAGGGAAGAACAAACGUGUAAGUAACUGUGCACGUCUUGACGGUACCUAAUCAGAAAGCCACGGCUAACUACGUG